AAGUCGUAACAAGGUUUCCGUAGGUGAACCUGCGGAAGGAUCAUUAAAGAGAUAGGGUUCUUACGAGCCCGACCUCCAACCCUUUGUCUACCAAGCCUCUGUUGCCUCGGCGGGUCGUCGGCUCCCUUUACGGGGCGCCGCCGUCGGCCCUCGUGCUCUCGAGUGCCCGCCGCAGGACCUUUGUAAACUCUUUGUAACGAGUAUAAUCUGAGUGAAAUAUAAUGCUUCAAUUAAAA
rnacentral:misc_RNA from 1 species